rnacentral:rRNA from 1 species
GACGUAGGGCGCGAGCGUUGUCCGGAUUUAUUGGGCGUAAAGAGCUCGUAGGCGGCUUGUCGCGUCGACUGUGAAAACCCACGGCUUAACUGUGGGCUUGCAGUCGAUACGGGCAGGCUAGAGUUCGGUAGGGGAGACUGGAAUUCCUGGUGUAGCGGUGAAAUGCGCAGAUAUCAGGAAGAACACCCGUGGCGAAGGCGGUUCUCUGGGACGGUACUGACGCUGAGACGCGAAAGCGUGGGGAGCGAACAGG